UCAGUUGCUCAGUUGUGUCUGACUCUUUGCGACCCUAUGGACAGUAGUCCGCCAGGCCCCGCUGUCCAUGGGGAUUCUCCAGGCUGGAAUGCUGGAGUGGGUUGCCAUGCCCUCUUCCAGGGGAUCUUCCCAACCGAGGGACUGAACCAGCCAGGUCUUCCGUAUUGCAGGCAGAUUCCUGACCGUCUGUGCCAUCAGGGCGUGAACAGAGCCUGCGGUGAAGACAAAGGUGGCAGAAUGGUGCUCCUGUGUGGACGAAGCGGAAGGCCCAUUGUUAGCCACUGAAGGAUAUCCAUUGGCCAGAGUACAUCUGACAUCUGUCUCUUACAGAACAAAAAAAUCAUUCUUUAUUCAUAUUCUAACUUCCUCUCCAGGAAGUAAAACAAUGCAGCAGACAAGAACCUUCUGUCUAAGGUGAGUUCAGGCUAGAAAAGCAGAAAAAUAGAGCUGUGCCCAGCUUUCUUUCUUCCUUUCUCCCAUUCU
ensembl:lncRNA